UGCAGCAAUUUUAGGGGACCUUUGAGAAGAAAGCAAGAAUAAUUCACCAUUAGCUCCAUUAGCUUCUUCUAGCUUGAACUAGAGGUAGCAAGCAGCCAGCGCCACCAGGGAGACCUCAGCUGUUCUGCUUCCGGGUCGGCAUCCACACAGUCCCCUACCGUCCACACAGAAUGCAGCAGGCACUACCAGCUGGCCACCUCUGAGGCCUGUUCUCUGAUGUCCAGGCCUGCUCCUGGCCACCCUGUGCAUGUGGCUGUGUCGCGGUUCUCUGGCUUCGAUCUCUAGAAAAGCCACCACACCCUGCCUCGCACCUUUCGGCAUUUUUCACUUUGAGCUGCCAGGCCUGGCAUAGCCACAGACAGAGGAUGUUUACAUAGUCGAGAUACAGAGCCACUUCUUCUUGAAUUAUUAUUAUGUUAUGUAUAUGACAGGCAGAGAGGUACAGAGUAGAGGGUAUAUCUGAGAGGCAUAGAGGUGGAGGGGAAGAGAGAGAGAGAGAGAGAGAGAGAGAGAGAGAGCAUUCAUUCACUGGUUCACUCUCCAAAUGCCCACCCCAGCUGGAACUGGGCUGAGGCCGAAGCCCAGAGCUGGGAAGGCGAUCCAGGCCUCUGACAGUAGUGCAGAAGCCCAGUGACUCGAGCCUUCAUGACUGCCUCCCGGGCUCUGCACGGGGGCAGAGCUAGAGUCAGGAGUCGGAGCCGGGGCUCAAGCCCACGUCCGCUGAUGUGCGAAGAGGAGACCUGAACUCCCAGGCUGAGCUAGCCAGAGCAGCUUCUUCACAUUUCUCAAGCUGUGCCCGUAGGCUGAGGUCGGUGACAUUUCCGCCUGUCACUGGGCAUGGGGUUAGCUCAAACAACGGUGGGCGCAAUCUGUGAUACAAUUCAAAGGAAAUAUUUCUCCCUUGGAUAUGGAGCCCAAUUAUUUGGACAAAGAUUUAUUUCUGCAUGGGUUAUACCACCACUUACACUGUGCACAGAUAACCAGGAGAGUCUCCCUGCACCCUGAGUGUGUCUCAUGGAGAAGAUGUCUCACUCCAAAGGGCAGCCUUUCACGCCGACAGACCCAAGGUCACAACACAACGAAACUCUUCUACAGCUUCUCUCCAAUGACUUUGGAGAAAUUACUUGGAGAAAUGUGGGCCACCUGCAACCUGCUCCAAGCAGCGGAGACCCCAGCGCUGGCCCAGAGGAACCAGAAGAGUUCAGAAGACAAGAGCAGCAAUUAUGAGUGUUCUUCUGCAGAAGUAGAAUCAGAACUCUUGGUCUUGAAAACUGAAUGAAGUAUGGACCUUGUUUUCAGAUACUAGCACAUGGCAUUCUAAGAUGUCUCCCAUGAUCUGUUCCCACCACUGUCUGCAGCCUGUGAACCCUCCUGACCUUGAGUGUGGAGAGAGCAUCGAUUAAGAGGGGACUUCAGGGGCUGCCGUUGAGGUGCAGUGGGUUAAACUGCCACCUGCAACACUGGCAUCCCUUAUGGGUGCCACCAGUUCAAGUACCAGCUGCUCCACUUCUCAUCCAGCUCUCAGCUAAUGACUUGGGAAAGCAGUGAAAAUUGGCCCCAGGGAUUGGGCCCGGACCACCCACAUGGGAGGCCUGGAUGAAGGUCAUGGCUCCCGGCUUUGUCCUGGCCCAGCCUUGUCUGUUGUGUCUGUCUGGGGGAGUGAACCAAAAGAUGGAAGAUCUCUCUCUCCUCUCCUUUCUCUCCCUCUGCCUUUCAAAUAAAUAAAUGAAUCUUUUAAAAAUGGGUCUUCA
rnacentral:lncRNA from 1 species